rnacentral:misc_RNA from 1 species
AAGUCGUAACAAGGUUUCCGUAGGUGAACCUGCGGAAGGAUCAUCAACAAAUCCCUCUAAAUACUCAAAACACACCUUUGUGCUCAAAACCCCCUAUAAAUCUAUGCUCUUCUCCGGUCACUUGCUGAUCAAGUGUAUGGUUUGAAUGAGAUCGUCAUUGGUUGUACGAUCCUUCCAUGCAUGAGUUGAGUGUAGGUUUUUUUUUCCCUUACAACCAAAAAAACAACAACAUAAACUCCAAAAAACACAAUCUUUAUCUAUCUGUUUCUGUUUUUUGUUUUUUUUUUCUUUUCAUCUUGUAUGCACACUCGUGUGUAUAUAAUGUGAAAAAAAAGGAAAUAAAAAUAUAAAAAAACUUGAAAACAACUUUUAACAAUGGAUCUCUUGGUUCUC